UACGUAGGGGGCAAGCGUUGUCCGGAUUUAUUGGGCGUAAAGAGCGUGUAGGCGCCAGACAGGUCCGUUGUGAAAACUCGAGGCUCAACCUCGAGAUGUCGAUGGAAACCGUCUGGCUAGAGUCCGGAAGAGGAGUGUGGAAUUCCUGGUGUAGCGGUGAAAUGCGCAGAUAUCGGGAGGAACACCGGUGGCGAAGGCGGGUUCUCUGGGCCUGACCUGGACGCUGAGGAGCGAAAGCGUGGGGAGCGAACAGGAUAGAUACC
rnacentral:rRNA from 1 species